CCUACGGGAGGCAGCAGUGAGGAAUAUUGGUCAAUGGACGAGAGUCUGAACCAGCCAAGUAGCGUGAAGGAUGACUGCCCUAUGGGUUGUAAACUUCUUUUAUAUGGGAAUAAAACGUUCCACGUGUGGGAUUUUGUAUGUACCAUAUGAAUAAGGAUCGGCUAACUCCGUGCCAGCAGCCGCGGUAAUACGGAGGAUCCGAGCGUUAUCCGGAUUUAUUGGGUUUAAAGGGAGCGUAGGUGGAUUGUUAAGUCAGUUGUGAAAGUUUGCGGCUCAACCGUAAAAUUGCAGUUGAAACUGGCAGUCUUGAGUACAGUAGAGGUGGGCGGAAUUCGUGGUGUAGCGGUGAAAUGCUUAGAUAUCGCGAAGAACUCCGAUUGCGAAGGCAGUUCACUGGACUGCAACUGACACUGAGGCUCGAAAGUGUGGGUAUCAAACAGGAUUAGAUACCCUAGUAGUC
rnacentral:rRNA from 1 species